ensembl:misc_RNA Metazoa_SRP Metazoan signal recognition particle RNA
AUCAGGCGUGGUAGCGCAUGCCUGUGGUCCCAGCUACUUGGGAUGUUGAGGUAGGAGGAUUGCUUGAGCCUAGGAGGUCAAGGCUGCAGUGAGCUGUGAUUGAGCCACUGCACUCCAGCCUGGGCAACAGAGCAAGACCCUGUCUCAA